rnacentral:tRNA from 1 species
UGGGGUGUCGCCAAGCGGUAAGGCAGUGGGUUUUGAUCCCACCAUGACGUAAGUCUCUCGUAGGUUCGAAUCCUACCACCCCAG